ensembl:lncRNA
GUCAAAACAAAAGAACCCCUCAACGUUGACAAUGUACCUCAACAAGGGCCACAUUUCCACCAUGUCCACGCUAUAAUCAUGUGUCUCCAGAGUGUAGUGGAUGGCACCGACCACAGGGGCAAUAGCUGGGAUGUGAUGAUGAUGCCUAUGGAGUGAAUCCAGAGGCAUGAAAUGGAAAGAGAAUCACCAAUUGUUAAUUUCUGGGAGAGGCUUUUAUCCUGUACUGGGCCAGACUGCAGAUAGAAAGUCAGUGGCAUCACAGUGGGCCUGGUACCGGUCUCUGUGCCAGAUGAUCAGCCCGAGAGGAGCAGCAUGCCAUCACAUCUGCCGGGUCCCGGCAGAAAAAUGGAGGCAAAGUUGCCUCCAUUUUUGCUUGCCAACAUUCUGUUAGCUAAAAUAACCCUGGUGAUUCAUAACCUAAUAGCACUUAAUAAUGUAUGAAAUAUUAAGAAAAAAACAUCAAAUGUUUGUCCUUCAAACGUAUUUUGUGUGGAUGUCCUCACAUCACUGACCAGCUGAAAUAUGUUUGGGGAAUUUCCAGACGGAAGAAGUUGAU